UACGUAGGGGGCAAGCGUUGUCCGGAAUUAUUGGGCGUAAAGAGCGCGUAGGCGGUCCGAUAAGUCGGCUGUGAAAGUCCAGGGCUCAACCGUGGAGGGUCAUUGGAAACUGGGGGACUUGAGUACAGAAGAGGAAAGCGGAAUUCCACGUGUAGCGGUGAAAUGCGUAGAGAUGUGGAGGAACACCAGUGGCGAAGGCGGCUUUCUGGUCUGUAACUGACGCUGAGGCGCGAAAGCGUGGGGAGCAAACAGG
rnacentral:rRNA from 1 species